CUGCGGAGGGAUCACCACCGAAGCGACAACUCCCAACCCCAUGUGAACGUUACCAAACUGUUGCCUCGGCGGGAUUUCUGCCCCGGGCGCGUCGCAGCCCCGGACCAAGGCGCCCGCCGGAGGACCAAUUUACAAACUCUUUUGUAUAUCCCAUCGCGGAUUCUUUACAUUCUGAGCUUUCUCGGCGCUCCUAGCGACGUUUCGAAAAUGAAUCAAAACUUUCAACAACGGAUCUCUUGGUUCUGGCAUCGAUGAAGAACGCAGCGAAAUGCGAUAAGUAAUGUGAAUUGCAGAAUUCAGUGAAUCAUCGAAUCUUUGAACGCACAUUGCGCCCGCCAGUAUUCUGGCGGGCAUGCCUGUCCGAGCGUCAUUUCAACCCUCGAACCCCUCCGGGGGGUCGGCGUUGGGGAUCGGCACUUACCUGCCGGCCCCGAAAUACAGUGGCGGUCUCGCCGCAGCCUCUCCUGCGCAGUAGUUUGCACACUCGCACCGGGAGCGCGGCGCGUCCACGGCCGUAAAACAACCCAAACUUCUGAAAUGUGACCUCGAUCAGGACGAAUACCCGAUAAACUUAAGCAUAUCAUAGAGCGGGGAGGAA
rnacentral:rRNA from 1 species